rnacentral:lncRNA from 7 species
AUGACUAGCAAUCUAGAAUCGAGUUGUGUGAUUGAUGUGUCGUCCUGCAGGUCGUGGCAUCGAUUUCCCCAAGCCUGGCAUGUAUCGAUGUCCUACCACACUUGUUUCGUGAAAGAGCAAUAGACGAGGAUGAUCGAUGGCUCGAUGCACUCUUCUGCCUAGUCGGAAAGUAGGCAGUUCCUUCAUGGUGUCAACUGUCAAGCCCGUGGCGGAUUCUCUGGUCGGCCCGUCUAGGUGGCGUUGCUUGAACCAUAGGAAGAUGAAGAUGAUGCAUACUGCCAUACUCAAAGCUAUAGGUUACAUAAGUAUAAUACUACUCAUUGGUAAUAACCUCAGAUCUAGUAGAUACACAAUAAGCUAUAGGUUACAUAUAUAUAAGAAAGCUAAAACGAUCUAUAAAUUAAAACGAAUAUAGUAUCUGUUGAAUCUUUCACAAAGAAAGAGACGUACGAGGAGCGGAAGGAUCCCUUAACAGUUAACACUAUCUCCGGGUCAUUUUCCGCAAGAUUUCGACGUACAAGACUCACGUGCAAGUUCCUGGUGACUUCUAGCAUGCUUGAAGAAAGAUGGAGUGCUUCGGCAGAGAAACAGAAAACACGUCUUAGUAGUAGGGAUUAUUAAUUAAUGUUGGUCCAAUUGACCCAGAGUAGCCGGUUACUCUGUAUCCAUGCCCUCUGAAAGAUUUUUUUUUCUAUAUCUCCCUCCUCCUCCUCUUCAGUCGUAUACUCUAUAUAUCGUCCUCUAUAUAUAUUAUAGACAUAUUUUACUUUUAUUUUUUAUGUAUACAUAUUUAUCAUAUUC